rnacentral:lncRNA from 1 species
GUUCCACAGUCCAUCCACCUGUUACUCAGAUACUGUAAGUAAAACAUAGUUUUACAUACAAAUUAAUGUAACUAGAUUAAUGCAGUUCAUCUCAUAACUGUAGUACUGCAGAGGAAUGGAACGAUGCAGCAAUCAGCAAACUCUGAAGAUGCCUAUUAUGAAAUUCCCACCUGAUUAUGAAGUAUCAAAAAAUACAGCCUGCACAGCUGUUAAACAAAGGAAUUCAGACAAACAGAAGGAAAACAAAAAUCCUCUGAAAAAGCAAUAUCCUUCUCUCCCUACGAAAUUUGUGAAGAGGGAAGAGUAA